rnacentral:misc_RNA from 1 species
AUUUUUUUCCCCCUCAUUUUGUUAUUUAUUUUUUGCUCUUUCUUUGAUAGGUGAGUUGUUUAGGGUUUUGGGCUGGGGUAGGGGUGUUAUGUAAGUGAGAUUAUACAAUCCCAAAUCCUUAAAUUUGGUAUUUUAUGCUGAUUGUAUUGUGCAUUUGCGAUGACAAAGGAAAAUUUUAAUCCUUUCUUUAGUUAAAAAAAAUUUACAUGUAUAAUUGAUUAAUCUUCCUGGCUAAAUGGCCAAAAGAAUCCAAACCUUUUAAUGUAUUUUCAAUUUAGCCAAUCCUUUAUCAUAUUGAGUCUAACCAUAUGACAUUGCUGAAGUUUUUGGCUAAUAUAGUGGUUAGUGAUUGAGAACUGGUAUGUAUGUUCAAAGCUCGCAUAUCUAUUUUAGUAGGCAAAUGAAAAUGAUUUAUGCUUCUUGCCAAAGUUGAU